UUAUUUUUUGCUUCUCCCCCAGCCCCCAUUAUGAUUCAUAAUUUGAUUUCUUUGCAGGUGCCCCUGGUCCAGGCUUCCCAGCCUGUGUGCUGCUCUGAGAGAUUCACUACUGCUUUUAUAGAAGAGAGAAAAUGAGGGUGCAGCAGAAGAGCCGAAGCCAGAGGAAAUGGAAAGACGUGAGCUCUCCUUUUUUAGAAACAGUGGCUUGGCUCCCCAACUGGUCAUAAAUCCAGGUCUCUGCAGUGGAUCUAUUCUGAUUUACACCAGAGGAAAAUCUGGCCUCUAGCUGAGAAGAAAUGGGCUGCCAGUUUAAUUACUUCAUCCCAGGUUAAAAUCUAACAAACCCUUUUGGAAACCUUGCCACAUUUCCUCCAGUCAAGAACAAAUAGUAUUUUGCCAGGAAUUCACCAGCCAUCCAAGCCAGCUGAUGGCUCCA
rnacentral:lncRNA from 1 species